AUCCAUUAGCCAAAGUAUCAAGGAAUGAUGGAAUAAGUCAGAGUCGGGAUCAACACUAAUUUUGGCAAAUCAGUUUGGCUUUUAAAACACUACCUAGAAUGUCAGCUAAAUCUUUAUUAUUGUCACCUAAGUACCCACUCAGGUCACUGUGCCUCCUGACCAGGAGGAAGGAUGGGGAAAAGAAGAAGUUUCUAGUGUGGAAUGGAGAAAAAGGCCCUGCUACAAACCGACCUUUAAAGUACAGUGCCUAAAGUUUCUGAUGACAAAACUACAACAACAAAAAGCAAAUAAAUGAACAUUUAAUAGACAGUCUGUGAAGGUUAUUAGCUAAGGGUCAAAAGAAAAAGAAGCAAAGAAUAUGGAAGAAGUAUUAGAUUUUCACUCCCUUUUUUCCAGCACAUCAUCAUUGGUUCUACAUUCCAAUCAUUAAUCUUUAUCCAAUUAUUUUUAA